GUUGACCUCGGAUCAGGUAGGAAUACCCGCUGAACUUAAAGCAUAUCAAUAAAGCGGAGGA
rnacentral:rRNA from 1 species